rnacentral:tRNA from 1 species
GCCCAGGUAGCUCAGUUGGUAGAGCAGGGAUUGAAAAUCCCCGUGUCGGCGGUUCGAUUCCGUCCCUGGGCACCA